GCUUCUUCUGUAUUACCGGAGUGCCUAGACCCCAGUUCCUAACUUCCUAAAUUUAGAGAGUCACCGAAGCUUUACACAGCCUAACAACUUAACUCCAGUUCUUUGGGAUGUAUAUAUAUUUUAAGUAUUUCUUCGUUUUCCCUGCAAUUUUGCCGAGUGAAAGGGGCUCUUGCAAUGGCUACUGGCUUGGAAGAGUAUGAACUUCUUAAACUGUCUGCUGUUAUUAUAGACUUAAGGUAGAGUUGAUUUCAGAACUUAGUAACUAUUAAAUCAGCUACGCUCUUUUUAUUUCAUUCUGACCUAUGCCCACAAUUCGAAUAGACCAGGCAAAGGGCUACUUAAGAGGACAAAAAAAUCUACCGUGGAAACAACGACUUGCCAUAAUGGUUUGCACCUCGAAGUCCUUCAUCUCGGAAUCCUGCAUCCAAAUUGCAUGCCAGGUGCUAAGUUUUGUUUUUGUUUUUUUAACCUAAGGUAUCAACAGGUCCUUAGGUAAAAUACUAUAUUGAACGUUGAAGUAAAAUCAGUAUUGCAGUAUU
rnacentral:lncRNA from 1 species